CGUGAGCGCAGGUGAUCGUGUGGCUGCGUGACAGAACAACCUGCUGAUUAAAAACAACAAGCAUGGGCUGUGUCAUUGCUUUUCCUAAACAGCCUCCUAUGUUUUCUGCACAUUCCAACUUCAAUGGAAAUGAACUCGCUGAAGUCGGAACAACGACUUCUCAACUCGAGAGAUUUGACCUUCUGAGGUGAAGAACUGUGCGAUGGACGAAGCAUCUCCACUUCCUCCCACUGUCGAAAAAUGACGCCAAAAUAUCCCAGAUACCGACGUUGCCAUCGCCAGAGUCUGUGCACUGUGUGCAGUAGCAAUCAGGGGAAUGGAGCAGCAGAAGCAAGGUCCCGUCUGCAAGUCGUUGACUGCUGAUUGGCAGUUUGAUGGAGUGUAAUACAUCAGCGUGAUGACAUGAGAUCUGACCGUGCCCACAUUUGAUGCCUCACUCUUGAUCCGUGCGAGGGGGAAACAACAACCACGUUCCGAGACCAGGCACCUGGGCCAACACAUAAACAAGAUAAACAACGUCUCCAGGGGUAACUGAGAGGAGCAGAGGAGGCAGGCAAGUGCUGCGCUUGUUCUCUGAUCGAUGCCAUACAUAGUGUAUGAGUUCCCUCAGAGCUAUGGGUAGAAGUUGUUCACUUCUAUACGAGAAAGUUCAGAGAGAAGCAGUAUUGAGAUGAAGUUGAAUAAAGGUAAAAUAUAG